AAGGGCAAACGGAAUUCCGGGUUUAUCGCUCGAAUGCGUUGAAAUCCGGAGAACUCCGACGCCGAAGUCAGCUUGCGGGCACAUUCCUGACGUUGAGGCACGUAAGCUAGGGGAGCAAACAUGGCUUAGAUAACCCUUGGUAGUCCUAGCCGUCACUGAAUGCGCACUUGGUUUUGGGGAGACUGAUCUAUUCGGGGCCGUAGCUGACGCGUUCAGUGCCCUGCCUGGUGAGUAUGGCUCGCAAGUCUGGAACUCAAAGGCAUUGACGGGUCCUCACACAAGCGGUGGAGCAUGUUGUUCAAUUCGAAGCAACUCGAAGAACCUUACCUGGGCAUGACAUUCUGGCAGUAGGAACCUGAAAGGGGGACCACCGGUAUCCAGUCCGGAACCAGCACAGGUGCUGCAUGUCUGUCGUCAGCUCGUGUCGUGAGACGUCGGGUUAAGUCCCAUAUCGAGCGCAACCCCUGUCCUUAGUUGAUACCGGUUCAUGCCGCGCACUUUAGCGAGACUGCCGGUGUCUCCACCGGAGGAAGGUGGGUACGACGUCAAGUCAUCAUGGUCCUAUCGUCCAGGGCUACAAACGUGCUACAAUGUCAGGGACAGAGAGACGCGAUACCUGCGAGGUGGAGCAAAUCUUCAAACCCUGCCCCAGUUCGGAUUGGAGGCUGCAAUUCGCCUCCAUGAAGUUGGAAUCGC
rnacentral:rRNA from 1 species